rnacentral:lncRNA from 1 species
CGAUGCCGAUGCUCUACGCGGUUACUUUCUCUACACGGAAAACAAGAAGAUGAUCACGAGAUCUCAAAGCUUUUUAUGACUUUAUUUUUUCUUUAUUUUUUAGAUUUAUUGACUUCCAUGCAAAUGAAAAGCAAACUCAAUUUAGAUUCAUUGUAAAGUAAACUGACCAAAUUAAUAUAUAUUCUUGGUUUCCUUUUAUCAUGACCGUUCUAAU